rnacentral:rRNA from 1 species
UGAAUACGAGACGCUAAGGCGUCGAAGUAGUGUAUGUCAUACUUCCAAGAAAAGCUUGCACUGUCAUAAGUAAAAAAUGCCUGUACCAUAACCGACACAGGUGGGUAGGUAGAGUAUACUAAGGGGCGCGAGAUAACUCUCUCUAAGGAACUCGGCAAAAUAACUCCGUAACUUCGGGAGAAGGAGUACCUUAUUCUAUAAGGUUGCAAUAACAAGAUCCAAGCAACUGUUUAUCAAAAACACAGGUCUCCGCUAAGUCGUAAGACGAUGUAUGGGGGCUGACGCCUGCCCAGUGCCAGAAGGUUAAAGAAGUCGGUUAGCAUUAGCGAAGCUGGUAACUGAAGCCCUGGUGAACGGCGGCCGUAACAAUAACGGUCCUAAGGUAGCGAAAUUCCUUGUCGGGUAAGUUCCGACCCGCACGAAAGGCGUAAUGAUUUGGAUACUGUCUCGGAGAGGGGCUCGGUGAAAUAGACUUGUCUGUGAAGAUGCGGACUACCUGCACCAGGACAGAAAGACCCUAUGAAGCUUUACUGUAACUUGAAAUUGAAAUUGGACUUUAUUCGCGCAGUAUAGGUGGGAGGUGUUGAUUAUAAUCUUGCGGGAUUAUUGGAGCCAUCAGUGAGAUACCACUCUUGUAAUGUUAGAUUUCUAACUUUGAAUCAUUAUCUGGUCAAAGGACAGUUUCAGGCGGCAGUUUGACUGGGGCGGUCGCCUCCCAAACGGUAACGGAGGCGUACAAAGGUUUCCUCUGAACGGGUAGAAAUCGUAUCUAGAGUGUAAAGGCAUAAGGAAGCUUGACUGUGAGACCUACAAGUCGAACAGGGACGAAAGUCGGUCUUAGUGAUCUGACGGUACUGAGUGGAAAGGCCGUCACUCAACGGAUAAAAGUUACUCUAGGAUAACAGGCUGAUCUCCCCCAAGAGUUCACAUCGACGGGGAGGUUUGGCACCUCGAUGUCGGCUCAUCGCAUCCUGGGGCGGUAGUACGUCCCAAGGGUUGGGCUGUUCGCCCAUGAAAGCGGUACGCGAGCUGGGUUCAGAACGUCGUGAGACAGUUCGGUCCAUAUCCGGUGUAGGCGUUAGAAUAUUGAGAGGAGCCUUCUUUAGUACGAGAGGACCGAGAAGGACAUACCUCUGGUGUACCAGUUAUCGUGCCAACGGUAAACGCUGGGUAGCUAUGUAUGGAGUGGAUAACCGCUGAAAGCAUCUAAGUGGGAAGCCCACCUCAAGAUAAG